ACUCGAGUAGGGAGUCUGGCCUAGUGAAAGUCUCUGUUUCCUCCUUUUCUUACUUUUCACUCAAUAAAACCCUGCUUUACACACCCUUCAAACCAUCUGUGAGCCUGAAUUUUUACGGCCAUGGGACAGACAAGGAUCCUGUCUUUAUCUAAACUAAGGAAAAGUCCUGCAACAUUUGUGGUGCACAACGUGGGGCUCGAGAAGUGGAAAACGCCUAUUUUGGAGUGAAACCAGGGCCGCCUUAUGAGCUAAACAGAGUGUGUUACAGCUUCAAUAGACUAAACAAGCUCUAAAUUUAUCUUCCUAUGGUCACGGGAUCUCAUAUAUUCUGGCUGUCAUUGUCAUAAUAAGCCACUCUUGGUCAUAUGGAAAAGCAUUCAGCUGCUCCCUGCCUUUGCUCACAGCGUGUGGUACUCUCUUAGAAGCUAUUCCUGGUUCAUUGGUAAUUUGCUAAAAGAAUGCCAGUGGGAACAGAACAGAAGCAUUUUCAAGAUUAAAUUGGCAAUGGUUGUGACUGAUUGGAUGAAGGAAGUAAGGGGGAGAGAUUCAUCAGAGAAAGAAGGCUUCUUUAAGCAGCAGAAUUGAGGAAUGAGUCAGAAAAUAAAAGAGCAAACAGGUAUACAGCCUUGCUUUUUG
rnacentral:lncRNA from 1 species